GGGUUGUGAGGUUAAGCGACUAAGCGUACACGGUGGAUGCCCUGGCAGUCAGAGGCGAUGAAGGGCGUGCUAAUCUGCGAUAAGCGCCGGUAAGGUGAUAUGAACCGUUAUAACCGGCGAUACCCGAAUGGGGAAACCCAGUGUGACUCGUCACACUAUCAUUAACUGAAUCCAUAGGUUAAUGAGGCGAACCGGGGGAACUGAAACAUCUAAGUACCCCGAGGAAAAGAAAUCAACCGAGAUUCCCCCAGUAGCGGCGAGCGAACGGGGAGGAGCCCAGAGCCUGAAUCAGCAUGUGUGUUAGUGGAAGCGUCUGGAAAGGCGCGCGAUACAGGGUGACAGCCCCGUACACAAAAGCGCAUGUGCUGUGAGCUCGAUGAGUAGGGCGGGACACGUGGUAUCCUGUCUGAAUAUGGGGGGACCAUCCUCCAAGGCUAAAUACUCCUGACUGACCGAUAGUGAACCAGUACCGUGAGGGAAAGGCGAAAAGAACCCCGGCGAGGGGAGUGAAAAAGAACCUGAAACCGUGUACGUACAAGCAGUGGGAGCACCCUUUGGGGUGUGACUGCGUACCUUUUGUAUAAUGGGUCAGCGACUUAUAUUCUGUAGCAAGGUUAACCGUAUAGGGGAGCCGGAGGGAAACCGAGUCUUAAUUGGGCGUUAAGUUGCAGGGUAUAGACCCGAAACCCGGUGAUCUAGCCAUGGGCAGGUUGAAGGUUGGGUAACACUAACUGGAGGACCGAACCGACUAAUGUUGAAAAAUUAGCGGAUGACCUGUGGCUGGGGGUGAAAGGCCAAUCAAACCGGGAGAUAGCUGGUUCUCCCCGAAAGCUAUUUAGGUAGCGCCUCGUGAAUUCAUCUCCGGGGGUAGAGCACUGUUUCGGCUAGGGGGCCAUCCCGGCUUACCAACCCGAUGCAAACUGCGAAUACCGGAGAAUGUUAUCACGGGAGACACACGGCGGGUGCUAACGUCCGUCGUGAAGAGGGAAACAACCCAGACCGCCAGCUAAGGUCCCAAAGUCAUGGUUAAGUGGGAAACGAUGUGGGAAGGCCCAGACAGCCAGGAUGUUGGCUUAGAAGCAGCCAUCAUUUAAAGAAAGCGUAAUAGCUCACUGGUCGAGUCGGCCUGCGCGGAAGAUGUAACGGGGCUAAACCAUGCACCGAAGCUGCGGCAGCGACGCUGAUGCGUUGUUGGGUAGGGGAGCGUUCUGUAAGCCUGCGAAGGUGGCCUGUGAGGGUUGCUGGAGGUAUCAGAAGUGCGAAUGCUGACAUAAGUAACGAUAAAGCGGGUGAAAAGCCCGCUCGCCGGAAGACCAAGGGUUCCUGUCCAACGUUAAUCGGGGCAGG
rnacentral:rRNA from 1 species